rnacentral:rRNA from 1 species
AACGUAGGACGCGAGCGUUGUCCGGAGUUACUGGGCGUAAAGGGCAUGCAGGCGGUCAGACGCGUUUUGUGUGACAGCGGAGGGCUUCACUCUCCGAGCAUACGAAAGACGGUGUGACUUGAGGGCUCGAGAGGGACACGGAAUUCCGGGUGGAGUGGUGAAAUGCGCAGAUAUCGGGAAGAACACCCGUGGCGAAGGCGGUUCUCUGGGACGGUACUGACGCUGAGACGCGAAAGCGUGGGGAGCGAACAGG